GGGUUGUGAGGUUAAGCGACUAAGCGUACACGGUGGAUGCCUAGGCAGUCAGAGGCGAUGAAGGGCGUGCUAAUCUGCGAUAAGCGUCGGUAAGCUGAUAUGAAGCGUUAUACCCGACGAUACCCGAAUGGGGAAACCCAGUGUGUUUCGACACACUAUCAUGACAUGAAUACAUAGUGUCAUGAGGCGAACCGGGGGAACUGAAACAUCUCAGUACCCCGAGGAAAAGAAAUCAACCGAGAUUCCCCCAGUAGCGGCGAGCGAACGGGGAGGAGCCCAGAACCUGAAUCAGUUUGUGUGUUAGUGGAAGCGUCUGGAAAGUCGCACAGUAAAGGGUGAUAGUCCCGUACACAAAAAUGCACAAGUUGUGAGUUCGAUGAGUAGGGCGGGACACGUGACAUCCUGUCUGAAUAUGGGGGGACCAUCCUCCAAGGCUAAAUACUCCUGACUGACCGAUAGUGAACCAGUACCGUGAGGGAAAGGCGAAAAGAACCCCGGCGAGGGGAGUGAAAUAGAACCUGAAACCGUGUACGUACAAGCAGUGGGAGCCUACUUGUUAGGUGACUGCGUACCUUUUGUAUAAUGGGUCAGCGACUUAUAUUCUGUAGCAAGGUUAACCGUAUAGGGGAGCCGCAGGGAAACCGAGUCUUAACUGGGCGUUAAGUUGCAGGGUAUAGACCCGAAACCCGGUGAUCUAGCCAUGGGCAGGUUGAAGGUUGGGUAACACUAACUGGAGGACCGAACCGACUAAUGUUGAAAAAUUAGCGGAUGACUUGUGGCUGGGGGUGAAAGGCCAAUCAAACCGGGAGAUAGCUGGUUCUCCCCGAAAGCUAUUUAGGUAGCGCCUCGUGAAUUCAUCUUCGGGGGUAGAGCACUGUUUCGGCUAGGGGGUCAUCCCGACUUACCAACCCGAUGCAAACUACGAAUACCGAAGAAUGUUAUCACGGGAGACACACGGCGGGUGCUAACGUUCGUCGUGAAGAGGGAAACAACCCAGACCGCCAGCUAAGGUCCCAAAGUCAUGGUUAAGUGGGAAACGAUGUGGGAAGGCAUAGACAGCCAGGAUGUUGGCUUAGAAGCAGCCAUCAUUUAAAGAAAGCGUAAUAGCUCACUGGUCGAGUCGGCCUGCGCGGAAGAUGUAACGGGGCUAAACCAUGCACCGAAGCUGCGGCAGCGACACUUAGGUGUUGUUGGGUAGGGGAGCGUUCUGUAAGCCUGCGAAGGUGGCCUGUGAGGGCUGCUGGAGGUAUCAGAAGUGCGAAUGCUGACAUAAGUAACGAUAAUGCGGGUGAAAAACCCGCACGCCGGAAGACCAAGGGUUCCUGUCCAACGUUAAUCGGGGCAGGGUGAGUCGACCCCUAAGGCGAGGCUGAAAAGCGUAGUCGAUGGGAAACAGGUUAAUAUUCCUGUACUCGGUGUUACUGCGAAGGGGGGACGGAGAAAGCUAGGUUAUCCGGGCGACGGUUGUCCCGGUUUAAGCGUGAAGGUGGAUGACUUUGGUAAAUCCGGGUCAUCAUUAACACUGAGGCGUGAUGACGAGUCACUACGGUGAUGAAGUAACCGAUGCUACGCUUCCAGGAAAAGCCUCUAAGCUCCAGGUAACAUCAAAUCGUACCCCAAACCGACACAGGUGGUCAGGUAGAGAAUACUCAGGCGCUUGAGAGAACUCGGGUGAAGGAACUAGGCAAAAUGGUGCCGUAACUUCGGGAGAAGGCACGCUGAUGGUAGGUGAAGUGACUUGCUCAUGGAGCUGAAAUCAGUCGAAGAUACCAGCUGGCUGCAACUGUUUAAUAAAAACACAGCACUGUGCAAACACGAAAGUGGACGUAUACGGUGUGACGCCUGCCCGGUGCCGGAAGGUUAAUUGAUGGGGUCAGCCGCAAGGCGAAGCUCUUGAUCGAAGCCCCGGUAAACGGCGGCCGUAACUAUAACGGUCCUAAGGUAGCGAAAUUCCUUGUCGGGUAAGUUCCGACCUGCACGAAUGGCGUAAUGAUGGCCAGGCUGUCUCCACCCGAGACUCAGUGAAAUUGAACUCGCUGUGAAGAUGCAGUGUACCCGCGGCAAGACGGAAAGACCCCGUGAACCUUUACUAUAGCUUGACACUGAACCUUGAGCCUUGAUGUGUAGGAUAGGUGGGAGGCUUUGAAGCGUGGACGCCAGUCUGCGUGGAGCCAACCUUGAAAUACCACCCUUUAAUGUUUGAUGUUCUAACGUGGACCCGUGAUCCGGGUUGCGGACAGUGUCUGGUGGGUAGUUUGACUGGGGCGGUCUCCUCCCAAAGCGUAACGGAGGAGCACGAAGGUUAGCUAAUCCUGGUCGGACAUCAGGAGGUUAGUGCAAAGGCAUAAGCUAGCUUGACUGCGAGAGUGACAGCUCGAGCAGGUGCGAAAGCAGGUCUUAGUGAUCCGGUGGUUCUGAAUGGAAGGGCCAUCGCUCAACGGAUAAAAGGUACUCCGGGGAUAACAGGCUGAUACCGCCCAAGAGUUCAUAUCGACGGCGGUGUUUGGCACCUCGAUGUCGGCUCAUCACAUCCUGGGGCUGAAGUAGGUCCCAAGGGUAUGGCUGUUCGCCAUUUAAAGUGGUACGCGAGCUGGGUUUAGAACGUCGUGAGACAGUUCGGUCCCUAUCUGCCGUGGGCGUUGGAAGAUUGAGAGGGGUUGCUCCUAGUACGAGAGGACCGGAGUGAACGCACCACUGGUGUACGGGUUGUGAUGCCAAUUGCAUUGCCCGGUAGCUAAGUGCGGAAGAGAUAACCGCUGAAAGCAUCUAAGCGGGAAACUUGCCUCGAGAUGAGUCUUCCCUGGGUACUUGAUACCCCUGAAGGGCCGUUGAAGACGACGACGUAGAUAGGCUGGGUGUGUAAGCGUAGCGAUACGUUGAGCUAACCAGUACUAAUGACCCGAGAGGCUUAACCUUACAACACCGAAGGUGUUU
rnacentral:rRNA from 1 species